CAGAAACAUCUGAUUUCAAAGAGAUGCUCACAUUCUGUACUGAUGCCAUCUAGAAAUGUAAAUGCCCAAUGUCACAUUGCUAAGUGGAGAAAGAUUGUCCACAAAUCAAACCCAUUCUUGAAGUUGAGAAGAAAUAAAGUGGAAAAUGAGUAUGAAAAGAUAUGAAAAACAUCUGUUUCAUCAUGGGAACUGAACUUCAUACCAUUGAACUUCAUACCAUUGAUCUGAGAUAAAUUAUUUAUGGUAAUGACUCUUUUCCUAAUGUCCUGAGUAAUGUUUUGUUAUGAGUUCAGCCCCUAGAUUACUGCUGAUUGAAAUCUUUGGAACUCUAUUUCGUUAAUCCCUCCUGUGCAAGGAACAUAAGCAUUCAAUGAGCAUACCACAAUAAAUUGACAAAAUUAGUAAAAUUCUCAAUACAAAUAUUCCUAGAAUGACUUUACUAUCAUAUAUUAGAGUACAGCACUCUGUUCCCUUAGAUAAACAAGAAAAAUAUUAAUAAAG
rnacentral:lncRNA from 1 species